ensembl:lncRNA
CAGGGAUCGAACUCAGGACCUUGCACUUGCAAGGCAGGCGCGGUGCCACUGAGCUAAAUCCCUGGCCCUGUUGCCUUGUUUUCACAUGUUUCUUUGUGUGUGUGCAUGAUGCUUGGUGGUCAGCUACACUGGAAAGACUUGGUUGCUCAUAUGGUGCUCUCUUUAGUGUCUGCUUUUCAGUGGUGCAGUGUGGGCACAGCUAACUUUAGGCCCUUUCCUCUGUCCCAAGAUCCAGCACCCUUUGUUAAUUUGUAAGGGCAGGGUGCAGUGUAAUUUGCUCAGCACCCAGUUCUGCUGAAAUGGACCACAGUAUUGUAAAUGACACAAAGUCAACCCAGCUAUUGGUAUGCAGAGGAAACCAAUUAAUAGCAAGGACUAUGCCACCCUAGAAAUAGUGUUGAAUUCAGGGACAACAAUAAAGUCAGACACAAUCUGGAUACUGGCAUAGCACAAGAACCAAUAAUAUACCACAUUAACUAUUGACAAGUGAUCUCUAAUUGUAGUAUAAUCACAAAGACAAACCCAAUACUGACACAUACAGUCAAUAUUUACUAAAUGCAACAACUAUGCCACCCCUAACGAUAGAAAACCAUUCAACAGUCAUAACACAGAGUUAACCAAAUAUCUAAAACUUUAAAAGGCUUAACUGUUAUGCUAAAAAAGAUAGAGGGGUGAGGAAUGGGAGAAAAAAUGAAGUUUUGAAAAGAAAGAUAAGGAGGAGAUAAAAGUGAGAUUAAUAGAAAUUAAUUGAAGUAGACAAAAAUUACAGAAAAGAACAGCAAAAGGCAGCAAAAAGAAAAAACCCCAGCAAAAUGAAGAAGAAAAAAUUAAAAGGAAAAAAAUGAUCCAAAACUCCAAAGAACCAAAGGAAAAAUAUGAGUCAAAAAAACGUCUUGCUUUUGAAUGAGUUUUUCCUUUCCAGGGUCUGUAGUCUUUGAAUCCAGCAGAUAUGGUGGAGGUAUAGUGAGUCACGCUAAGAAUGAUUAUUUUGUUUCUACAUCCUUGUGUGUGUGUGUGUGUGUGUGUGUGUGAAUCCUGCUCCCUGACCCCCUUUCCUGCUGUGUGCAGGUGGUCAGUGCAUCCGCACCGAGACUCUAGCCGUUCUUGCAGCUCCCAGCUCGCGUGUUCCUCUGUGCACUCUCUGUCAUGGUUUCUCUGACUAGCUGUAUGGCCUAUGGGUUUGUGAAAUGCCCUGCUCCCUGCUUCACAGGUCUCUCUCUCUCUCUCUCUCUCUCUCUCUCUCUCUCUCUGUGCACACCAGGAAGUGGCAGUGACCCAAGCUGGGCCAUCCCCUUGCUCACAUUGGUAGACGUGGAGAGCAAAGAGACCACUGAGUACUGUGUUGCUGUAGGCAGCAGGGUGGGGGUUCACGCAGUUUCCUGGACUUAAGGCCAGCACUUCCAGACCAGGCUGCCUCAGAGAGCCACACAUGCCAUGCCUGGCUUCUCACCACAGUGGGCAGGGCUCUCGUGUCCCCAAUGAUAGGUCUCCCACCACCUCAGCAGCUAUUAUGUAUAGUAGCUGCCCUCUUCCUAUCGUGCCUUGCCCCCUCCCCUGUGUGACGUCAUGCCAAGAUGGUUGCUCCCACCAAAGAAUAAACCCUUCUUCCCAGCAUGCCCCUGGUCCCGCCUAGAGAGUAACCUAAUACUCGCUCACCUCCUACCACCUAGUGACCUCAUGGGCUCCUCCAUUCCCUAGCCACUACCCCACUCAACCCCACCUCUGCCCCUACAAGCCCCACCCCAGUCUCUAUAAAAGACUCUCCCUGCCCCGGCCAUAUUGCUUUUGUCUCUCCUUUGUUCCGAGACAGCGUGGCACAUCUAUUCCCCUAAUAAAGGCUUGCUGUGGCCUGGACAAGACCAAAAGGCCUAGGUACAUAAAGAAGGUGUGUGGAAGAGAUUUAUAAAGGAAAUAUAUAUGUUUACUUGUUGGUUUCAAGUUUGUUAUAAAAGGUUUACAGGAAUAGAGGUUUCAUUCCUUCUGAUUUUAAUUCUACAAGAGAUCUCUGUUAAUUGACUUACAAAAGGUUUUAAAUAGUCUUAUUUAUAAUUAUAAACCUAAAAUUAUAAAGAGAUUAUAAUUCCAUUGGGCUAAAUAUAUUUGAGUGCACUCUAGUUUUAGAAAUUGUCUUAUAUCUUUGUUUUUUGUCCAGUCGUACAGCUGUUUUGUUUAUAGAUAAAGGUUAUUAAGUUCAAGGCAUGCUCCCCUUGGUGAACAAAGGAGCGGCCGCAUGGAAAUAUUAUCCAGUCUUUGUUCACUAGGGGGACCUCAACAGUUUUCAUCUUACAACAGACUGACCCGAUAGUUUUCAUAGCCUUAUAAAAGACUUACAGGAAUAAAUAUUAUUUAAAUAUAUUAUUAUACUGUUUAUAUCAAUUGUCAUCAAAGGGAUAAAUUCUAAAUAUGUUAUUUGGUAUGCUUACACUGGUCAUUUUCAGAGGACUAAAUAUCCUGUAAAAAAACAACAACAAG